CAGCCGCCACGGGAAUACAGAGGGUGCAAGCGUUAAUCGGAAUUACUGGGCGUAAAGCGCGCGUAGGUGGUUUGUUAAGUUGGAUGUGAAAGCCCUGGGCUCAACCUGGGAACUGCAGUGGAUACUGGGUCACUAGAGUGUGGUAGAGGAUAGUGGAAUUUCCGGUGUAGCAGUGAAAUGCGUAGAGAUCGGAAGGAACAUCUGUGGCGAAGGCGACUAUCUGGGCCAACACUGACACUGAGGCACGAAAGCGUGGGGAGCAAACAGGAUUAGAUACCCGCGUAGUCCCUGUCUCUUAUAC
rnacentral:rRNA from 1 species